rnacentral:sRNA from 1 species
GGGUUAAUAGCCCUGGAGACCAGAGUCUUCUAUUGGUUUGUAGAAAUGGCAGACCUGACAGCAGCUGUAUGAGCUUCCUGCCACUCCACCCUGCCAAUGUGCCUCAGCCCUGUUCUGGAGAGACCAGCUCUAGGCAGGAGAAGGCAGGAAGAGCAGUUCGAUUUCCAAGGACCACACCAUCCCUGGCCACU